AGAGUUUGAUCCUGGCUCAGGAUGAACGCUAGCGGCAGGCCUAACACAUGCAAGUCGAACGGUAACAUGAGAGCUUGCUCUUGAUGACGAGUGGCGCACGGGUGCGUAACGCGUAUGCAACCUACCUUUAACUGGAAGAUAGCCUUUAGAAAUGAAGAAUAAUACUCCAUAAUAUUUACUUACGGCAUCGUAAGUAUCUUAAAGCUUCGGCGGUUAAAGAUGGGCAUGCGUUCUAUUAGUUAGUUGGUGAGGUAACUGCUCACCAAGACUUCGAUAGAUAGGGGGCCUGAGAGGGUUAUCCCCCACACUGGUACUGAGACACGGACCAGACUCCUACGGGAGGCAGCAGUGAGGAAUAUUGCACAAUGGACGAAAGUCUGAUGCAGCCAUGCCGCGUGCAGGAUGAAUGCCCUAUGGGUUGUAAACUGCUUUUAUAUAGAAGAUUUUGACGGUACCAUCAGAGGAAGCCCCGGCUAACUCCGUGCCAGCAGCCGCGGUAAUACGGAGGGGGCAAGCGUUGUUCGGAAUUAUUGGGCGUAAAGCGUAUGUAGGCGGUUGGACAAGUCAGACGUGUAAGCCCGUGGCUCAACCACGGAAUUGCGUUUGAAACUGUUUAACUUGAGUGCAGGAGAGGAAAGCGGAAUUCCCAGUGUAGCGGUGAAAUGCAUUGAUAUUGGGAAGAACAUCGGUGGCGAAGGCGGCUUUCUGGCCUGAUACUGACGCUCAGAUACGAAAGCUAGGGGAGCAAACGGGAUUAGAUACCCCGGUAGUCCUAGCCCUAAACGAUGGGCACUAGGUGUGGGAGGGAUUGACCCCUUCUGUGCCGAAGCUAACGCAUUAAGUGCCCCGCCUGGGGAGUACGGCCGCAAGGCUAAAACUCAAAGGAAUUGACGGGGACCCGCACAAGCGGUGGAGCAUGUGGUUUAAUUCGAUGCAACGCGAAGAACCUUACCUGGGUUUAAAUUGUAUGGGACAGCUAUGGAAACAUAGUCUCUCUUCGGAGCCCAUAUGAAGGUGCUGCAUGGCUGUCGUCAGCUCGUGUCGUGAGAUGUUGGGUUAAGUCCCGCAACGAGCGCAACCCCUGCCCUUAGUUGCCAGCGGGUAAUGCCGGGAACUCUAAGGGGACUGUCGGUGAUAAACCGGAGGAAGGUGGGGACGACGUCAAGUCCUCAUGGCCCCUACGUCCAGGGCUACACACGUGCUACAAUGGCCGGUACAAAGGGUUGCAAAGCCGCAAGGUGGAGCUAAUCUCAAAAAGCCUGUCUCAGUUCGGAUUGGAGUCUGCAACUCGACUCCAUGAAGUUGGAAUCGCUAGUAAUCGUGGAUCAGCUUGCCACGGUGAAUACGUUCCCGGGUCUUGUACACACCGCCCGUCACAUCAAGAAAGUCGAUUGUACCGGAAGUCAUGAUGCCAACCCGCAAGGGAGGCUGCUGCCUAUGGUAUGGUUGGUGAUCAGGGUGAAGUCGUAACAAGGUAACC
rnacentral:rRNA from 1 species